GACGAACCGUCCUAACGUUGUUCGGAUUCACUGGGCUUAAAGGGCGCGUAGGCGGACUGGUAAGUCCGGGGUGAAAUCUUUCGGCUCAACCGGAAAAGUGCCUUGGAAACUGCCAGUCUCGGAGGGGGGUAGGGGCCUGUGGAACUUCGGGUGGAGCGGUGAAAUGCGUUGAUAUCCGAAGGAACGCCGGUGGCGAAAGCGACGGGCUGGACCCCUUCUGACGCUGAGGCGCGAAAGCCAGGGGAGCAAACGGG
rnacentral:rRNA from 1 species